UUGUUCUUCCUUGGCUGCUUCUUCUUGUGCUUUCUUAUACUAAACGAUUUCAAAACAUAAUUUUGUAGUUCUCAUGAAUUGUUUUUCUACACUUUAUACUUCUAAAGAUAUUUAAGAUAAAUUAGUCAAAAUGUCCUUAUAAAAUGUGUCUAUCUGUUUCUUAAUCAAAGCAACACUAUGCAACAAUUUGACACUAUUUGAGGUAUGGUUUUAUAGACAUGGGAGCACUCUCCAGCACUCUUUCAGCUUCUUGUGGCUCUGUAGAGAAGGCAUUGGGACCAUUAACACCAAAAAGAUCUAUGUAGGGACAUCUUUAGGGACAAGAUUGCAGCAGUUCAGUUUUCCAAAAGAUCCCGAAUAGUUUUUACAUUUAAAGACUUCCAGGACAACAAAGCCUUUAAAAAACUGGAUGAUGAAGAACAUAUGAAAUCUCUGACAAACAGACAUGAAGCCAUGCACUACGCUCUGAAUAAUCUUUUUGACAAAUCAGAGAGUGGUCGACACCCAGAUGCAACAAAGGUGGUUGUCAUCAUUAUUGAUGGCAACCCAUCAGA